UGUAUGGGCGCGCCUACACAACACCUUUGGGCGCGCUUGUUACACUGAGCCUCGCACACGCCGCUCGUCGUCCUGGGAAAGACGUGCCGGCCGACGCCGAGGCUCCGAAGUCAACUUCGAAAAAGGCCUCGUACUUUGCCGAGGUUCCCGCAAGCGGAAAUCCGAGCUGGCUGAUCAGCUGCGGGUUAAGCGGCUGCUUCUGUGCCCGAUGGAGUCUUCGCGUCAUGGACAGAGGAGGUUUGUCGGAGGAAGCGGUGGCGGAUGCCUGUAAGGACGGAGACCCCGCCACCAAGGACUACAUGAUGCAGCAGACCAUGCUGAGGGUCAAAGAUCCCGCUCGCUCCCUUGACUUCUACACACGAAUCCUCGGAAUGACAUUGCUGCAGAAGAUCGACUUCCCGUCGGUACACUUCAGCCUUUAUUUCCUAGGCUUCGAGAACAAGGCCGAUAUUCCUACCGAUAUCCGGGAGAGGACGGCUUGGACGUUUUCCCGCCGAGCUACCUUGGAGCUUACCCAUAACUGGGGCUCAGAGUCGGACGCCAGCUUGACUUACCACAACGGAAACAGCGACCCCAUCGGCUUUGGUCACAUUGGCAUCGCUGUACCAGACGUUGGCAUCGCUUGUCACUUGUUUCAAUCUCUGGGCGUCACCUUCAUCAAGAAGCCGCAUUCUGGCAAGAGGAAAGGGCUGGCCUUCAUUCAAGAUCCCGACGGCUACUGGAUCGAGAUCUUCACUCCGGACACGAUGGCGACCUUGAUGGCGCCUUGACGCUGAUCCUCGGGCGUGUGCGCACAGAUGCAUUACUGUGUAAAAAUAGUGUACCUAAUGAAGUGUCCAAGAAGCACGUCACAAACAAAACAGCCAAUCAGGAGGUGGGGAUGAGGAGGUCUUUUUUCCGUUUCACCGAGAAAGCUCAAUACUGACAAAUAGAUACUCGUGGAUUAAAAUGCCCUUGUUGUAUUUGAAAAAGCCUUGUGAGAACUGUCAGACAUUAUUAAAUCAAGGAGUUUGACUGUA